AGGGAUAGCUUUGUCUCAGUGACUGCAUAUGUUUGUUGGCAUUAGUCGUUGGGUAUGUUGGUUUAAUUUCAGCUUAGCUUGUGAUGGCAAUUUUGCUCCUCUCUACAUUUUAUUUAUUUAUUAAUUUAUUAUUAUUAGGGCCACUAGAAUUGUUAUUCUUUGUAAUUCCUCUAUCAUUUCUUAUUCGAUUAUUUCGUUUUAGGUUUGAAACCUUGAUGUAUUGUUAUCUUCUUUACAAAAGAGGUGAAGAGGAACAUAGGAAGUAACAGAUUUCUUGUAAACUUUUGAGUUCAUGUAUGUCAUUAGCUUCUUGUCGUGAAUUAAAAAAAAAAAAAUGUGUAGGAGCUGGAUUUAAUGGAUGCAG
rnacentral:misc_RNA from 1 species